rnacentral:rRNA from 1 species
AGUGAACGCUGGCGGUAGGCCUAACACAUGCAAGUCGAACGGCAGCACAGUAAGAGCUUGCUCUUACGGGUGGCGAGUGGCGGACGGGUGAGGAAUACAUCGGAAUCUACUUUUUCGUGGGGGAUAACGUAGGGAAACUUACGCUAAUACCGCAUACGACCUACGGGUGAAAGCAGGGGAUCUUCGGACCUUGCGCGAUUGAAUGAGCCGAUGUCGGAUUAGCUAGUUGGCGGGGUAAAGGCCCACCAAGGCGACGAUCCGUAGCUGGUCUGAGAGGAUGAGCCACCACGGAGGAACUGAACGGCGCAGCCUCCUCCUGGGGGCGGCAGUGGGGGGUAUUGGAGAAUAGGGGGCAGCCGGCUCCAGCCAUACCGCCGGGGUGGAGAAGGACUUCGGGGUGUUGAAACCCUUUUUUGUGGAAGAAAAACAGCAGGUUAUUACCCCCCCGUUCUGACGGUGCCCAACAAAUAAGAACCGGCUAACUUCUUG